CCUACGGGCGGCUGCAGUGGGGAAUAUUGGGCAAUGGGCGCAAGCCUGACCCAGCAACGCCGCGUGAAGGAAGAAGGCUUUCGGGUUGUAAACUUCUUUUCUCAGGGACGAAGCAAGUGACGGUACCUGAGGAAUCAGCCACGGCUAACUACGUGCCAGCAGCCGCGGUAAUACGUAGGUGGCAAGCGUUAUCCGGAUUUACUGGGUGUAAAGGGCGUGUAGGCGGGAGAGCAAGUCAGAUGUGAAAACCAUGGGCUCAACCUGUGGACUGCAUUUGAAACUGUGUUUCUUGAGUGCUGGAGAGGCAGACGGAAUUCCUAGUGUAGCGGUGAAAUGCGUAGAUAUUAGGAGGAACACCAGUGGCGAAGGCGGUCUGCUGGACAGCAACUGACGCUGAGGCGCGAAAGCGUGGGGAGCAAACAGGAUUAGAUACCCGGGUAGUC
rnacentral:rRNA from 1 species